GACGAACGCUGGCGGCGUGCCUAAUACAUGCAAGUCGAACGGACGAGUGAGAUAAGUUUACUUAACUCACAAGUUAGUGGCGGACGGGUGAGUAACACGUGGAUAAUCUACCUGCAACACCGGGAUAACGCUGUGAAAACGGUGCUAAUACCGGAUACGUUCCCUUGUGCGCAUGUAUGAGGGAAGAAAGCUCAGGCGGUUGCAGAUGAGUCCGCGGCUGAUUAGCUAGUUGGUGAGGUAAAGGCUCACCAAGGCGAUGAUCAGUAGCCGGCCUGAGAGGGUGAACGGCCACACUGGGACUGAGACACGGCCCAGACUCCUACGGGAGGCAGCAGUGGGGAAUCUUCCGCAAUGGGCGCAAGCCUGACGGAGCAACGCCGCGUGGGUGAAGAAGGCCUUCGGGUUGUAAAGCCCUGUCUUAUGAGAAGAAGUCAGUGACGGUACCAUAGGAGGAAGCCACGGCUAACUACGUG
rnacentral:rRNA from 1 species